rnacentral:rRNA from 1 species
GACGUAGGGCGCGAGCGUUGUCCGGAUUUAUUGGGCGUAAAGAGCUCGUAGGCGGCUUGUCGCGUCGGCCGUGAAAACCUGCGGCUCAACUGCAGGCUGGCGGUCGAUACGGGCAGGCUGGAGUUCGGUAGGGGAGACUGGAAUUCCUGGUGUAGCGGUGAAAUGCGCAGAUAUCAGGAGGAACACCUGCGGCGAAGGCGGGUUGCUGGGCUGAUACUGACGCUGAGGCGCGAAAGCCAGGGGAGCGAACGGG